UUAGUUUGUAAUUGCAAUAUCCAUUAUAAUCCCUCCGUCCGCCAAGAUUAUGUCAAAUUGUUUGGGCACAGAAUUUAAUAAAAUUGGUGAUGAUUUUGAUGUAGUGGAGAAAGGGACCCACCACUUUAUGAGAUGUAUGGUUGAGAUUGAAUUUUGGGUGGGUUUUUUUGUAAAUAAAGAGUGUUAGUAAGGAUAAAAUAUUAAAGAGGAUGUCGGGACCAUUGCCUUAAAAGAAAAGUGACAUAAUCUUGACGUACGUCCGAUAUAGUAAUUGUGACAUAAUCUUGGCGGACUGAGGGAGUACAAAAUAUGCAUUCUUCAAGAAAUCAACUAAUACAUCGUGUGUGUAUUGCAAAAGUAAUUACGAUAAUGAGUAAUUCUGUUUAUAACUCCAUUUUAUUCUUUAUAGUCUUUUGUUUAAUAAAAUAUUAAAAAUAUUUAAAUUGACACUAUCAUCCCUUAACCUAAAUUCUUUUGUCUCUUUUGAAGUGAUCUUAGCACCCUUCUUCAACGGAUCAAAACCUCUGAUUCAGUCCAUGGAUUUGAGAGGCACCAUCCCUAAUUUCACCAAAAUACGCACUAAAAUCAUCAUAGUAGUCAUCUCCCUCCCUCACCAUCUUCACACUCUACGUUUCUCUACUCCUCAAUAUCUCAUCAAAUCAUUCAAGAAAUCGCUCUCUAUCUCUCUCACUCAUCAACACAAACCGCAGCUCAAUAAUGUAUGAAAUUACAAACAAAACAUAAUGAAAUAGUGAACACUAGGCUAGAGAUUAUAUAAAGACUUUGUAUAUUAAAUUAAAUACAAUUAAUACGUGACUCUGCAAAUUUAUUUCUACACUCAGGGUAUGUUUCAUUUGAGGUAUAAAUGCUUUGUUUACUUUGACAUAAUAAAAAAUUUAGGUAGAUAAUAUAAAUUUUUGUGCAACACUUUCUUCCUUGGAAAAAGUAAUAUAAUUUUAAAUUAUAUUAUGAGCAAUGAAUAAAUAUAUUAUGAGCAAUGAAUAAAUAUAUUAUCAUUUAAAUCAAAUAAGAUAUAAAAAAUGUGGAUUUCACUUGAAUUGAUAAAUUUAUAUCUCAUUAGAUAAAAAGCAAACACAUCUCCAAAGAUUAUAUUUUUUUAUAUGAAAUUUAAAGUGAUGGACUUUACUCAAAAGCAUUAAGAAAUUAUUCUAUAUUUGGGCCUUAGAUUAUAUUUUCAAAAAAUAUUCAGAGUUAGGGCUGAAUUAAUAAACAGUAGGAUAUCAUUUGCUUUUUGCUUUUUGUUUUGUUUUGUUUUAUUUUAUAUUCUUUGAAAAAGAGGAUUAAUAAUAAUUUUUUCUGUUUAUUUUUGUGGUCACUCAAAUCCUUAAGAUAAGAGAAAAAUAUCUUAUCAAUUAAGUUGUAUUUCAUUGUCAAGCCUAAUUGGCUGAGUUCAGAUUUUUUCUUAAUUGUGAAUUAAUUAAGCUAAAGGUUAACUAGUCAACUUGAAAGUAAGAUUUAUGGUCAUUCCUUUCGUUGGUAAAGAUUUCCUCUUAUCUCCAUUCUUUUAAUUUUUACACAUCAACUCAAUCUCAACACAACUUUUCUGUAGGAUUAGAUCAUCCACAACAUAUAUAGAAUCUUUUAGGGUUCUUUGGAGAGCCACCCUUCUCACAUAGGGCUCUACAAGGUGACUCUAUAUAGUGCUUUUGUUUCAUCUUCAAAAAUUAAAUUCUAAAUCAAAUUUAAAAUCGAAAAUAUAAAUGGGGUGUGUGUUAAUAAGAAAAAGAAAAUUCAAGCCUUCGCUAAUUCCCAAAUUUCAAGCCUCUGCUAACCGAAUUUUUUCUUCGUAUUUAUUCCACAAAAAACCUCACAUUUAUUCCACCAAAAUUCAGGCCUCUGCUAAUGGAAUUUCUUCUUCAUCCCCAAUUUUCUUCUUCUUCCUCACAUUUAUUCCAACAAAACCCCCAAUCUUCUUCUUCUUCUUCUUCUUCAUUCCAACUGUAUCCCCUUCUCUUUCAGUCAGUAGCUUCGCCGCUUCCUUAUCCGCCGCCGACGGCUUCUGAUGCACCUCCUUCGCCUUCAGAGGCUGCAAUGCACGCGGCUCAUAUCAAGGUAAGGUUUCAUUCCAUCUUCUUCCCUCUCUCAAACCAAGAACCUCACUCAAUCAUCUCUAUUGUAGGACAACCCUACUUGCCAUUUUGAAGAACACUUGGAGCUCUCUUUUGGUGUAAGGUGAACCUUACACCCCCUAAGAUCGAGGAUAACUGAUCCAUGAACUUGCAUCCCUAAGAUCGAGGAUAACCGAUCUAUGAACUUGCAUGUGUAUUGGUGUGCUUAAUUUUGUAUGAACUUGCAUGCCGGUAAUUCUUGUACACUCGCUCUGUUUGCUUUGAGGUAUAAGAGAGGGACAACUACAUUUAUCACCUUAUAUUUCAUUUGUUUUGAUGUAUAAAAAAAUUUGAGCAAGUUGUAUAAUUUUUCGAGCAGCCCCUUAUUCAUUGAGAAAUGUAUAAUUUUAUAUUUAAGAGAGGGUGAUAUAAUUUGAUACCACCUUAUAAGAAGUGGAUAAAUAUAUUAUCCUUCAAACCAAAUAAGAUAUAAUAAAUUCGGUUCACACUUUAAGUGAUAAGUUUAUACCUCAUUAUAUUA
rnacentral:lncRNA from 1 species